AGAUUGAACGCUGGCGGCAGGCCUAACACAUGCAAGUCGAGCGGUAGAGAGGUGCUUGCAUCUCUUGAGAGCGGCGGACGGGUGAGUAAUGCCUAGGAAUCUGCCUAGUGGUGGGGGAUAACGUUCGGAAACGGACGCUAAUACCGCAUACGUCCUACGGGAGAAAGCGGGGGACCUUCGGGCCUCGCGCCAUUAGAUGAGCCUAGGUCGGAUUAGCUAGUUGGUGAGGUAAUGGCUCACCAAGGCGACGAUCCGUAACUGGUCUGAGAGGAUGAUCAGUCACACUGGAACUGAGACACGG
rnacentral:rRNA from 1 species